UCCCUGGUGGCCCAGUGGUUAGGACUCUGUACUUUCACUGCAGCAGACCCGGGUUCAGUCCCUGGUCAGGGAA
rfam:TPA: Bos taurus chromosome 25, whole genome shotgun sequence.